rnacentral:rRNA from 1 species
GGACGGGUGAGUAACGCGUGGGUAACCUGCCUUAUACAGGGGGAGUAACAGUCAGAAAUGGCUGCUAAUACCGCAUAAGCGCACAGAGCUGCAUGGCUCAGUGUGAAAAACUCCGGUGGUAUAAGAUGGACCCGCGUUGGAUUAGCUUGUUGGUGGGGUAACGGCCCACCAAGGCGACGAUCCAUAGCCGGCCUGAGAGGGUGAACGGCCACAUUGGGACUGAGACACGGCCCAGACUCCUACGGGAGGCAGCAUG